UUUGACAUUAUAUAGGAAUAAGAAUUAAUAGCAUAUGAUAGAAAAAGAGAGAAAUUUGUCAUUAUUUGCAGCAUCUUUUCAUAUGCCUCUUGGCCAUUUGUAUAUCUUCUUUGGAGAAAUGUCUAUUCAAGUCCUUUGCCCAGUUUUAAAUUGCGGACAUGCCGUCUCCUCCUUCAGCCUUGAAGAGACCCCAGUCCUUCCUCGUGAGCUGUGUGAGGCCACGUGUCCCUGUGGGGACCCUUCCAGCAGGCCUGAUCUCGUUACCUCCCUCUCUCAAUCCUUCUUGGAAUUCUUAUUUUUACACGUGCACACAGGUUUGUACGAUUCUAUACUGAUUUAUAAACGUGAUCACAUUAUACUUAUUGCAGUGUGUGUGUGUGUGUGUGUGUGUGUGUGUGUGUACACAAAAUC
rnacentral:lncRNA from 1 species